UAAAUCACCAGUCCCAUUAAAUCCUUGUUCUGGACAAUAAAGUCUCUGCUUGUGCACCAAGACACAUCCUGGAGUUCUCUCUGCUGCUUCAGUGUUGGGGUCCCAAUCCGGUCUACUCAGUGGAAGCCCAGCUUUAAGCUGUUCAGGGAUAGUGGUGGAUCUAUAAAUGUACCUGUAACCAUAAGUAGGUGGAGCAGAAGAAAAGGGAGAAUACCUUCCUCCAGAGCACCGUCGCUGCCUUCGACCUGGGUCCGGGAUUACAUAUCCUCAUCUACUUUCAGGUCCCUGUUCGGGUGCCACUUGUCUCGAGCCACGAUGUCAGGAUCCUGCCAGCAGGUCCUAAACCUGAAAGGACGAGGACAGAGAGACAGGAGGCACCUUUCUUCUCAAGUUCCUAGCUUGCUUUAUUACAGAACCUCUUCCUUUUAUACUCUCCAGCUGCAUGGGAGCGAGGGCUGCACGGGAGCUAGAGUACGGCCCACACAUUCCAGAGGGAAACAAUAACAACCAUUAUGGGUUACAUCUGCUAGGCAAUAGAUCAGACCACCAGCUGAACUAGCCCAUUGCUAUAGCAAUGGCACGUCCACACUGCUCGGGUGAAUCACAGGUCAAUGUGGCUGCGCUCAUGAUGUGUUCCUUUACAAUGCUCUCCAUACUGUUCAUUG
rnacentral:lncRNA from 1 species